UGUAAGGUGGUGUAAAGGCACAUAAAGUUUUGGACUUUGAAGUGAUAGUUUAAUCUGUUUCUUACAG
rnacentral:tRNA from 1 species